AAUAUCAAGAAUAUCUCUCAAGUUUUGAUGAUAUCAGAUAUAUUCUUCAACUUUGUAAUAAUUAUAAUUUUUUCUUUGAAUUAAUAAUAUAUUUGUUCUUAUUUUUUAUUGUUUUUAUUAGAGCCCAAAGCCUAUGCUUUUCCACAAUAUUUGGAAUCUAUCCAUAUUUCCUACCCAUGCCCUUGGUACAAUUAUACUAGUACCCGUCUGUUGCUUAGUUCACUUACAUCCUCCUUCUGGUACCUCCCUUCAAACACUCACACUCACAUGCCCUUACUGAAUCAGCAUAAUAUGUUUGUCAUGGCCUCCGUGGAUUCCUGCACAAACCAUAUACUAGCUUCAACUCACAAAAACUUCAAAAA
rnacentral:lncRNA from 1 species